rnacentral:rRNA from 1 species
GGCCACAGCCAUAUCACCCUGCAGCCCAAGACCGGUUACUCACUGAAGCUAAGCAGGGCUGAGCCUGGUUAUUACCUGGAUGGGAGACCACUAGGGAACACUAGGUUGCUGUUGGAA